rnacentral:lncRNA from 10 species
UUAGGAUGAGGUCCCUCCAUAAAAAUGCAAGGGGAUCAGUUAAACUUUCACUUCUAAUUUAUUCAUGAAGGAGCGAGGUCUUGCCUGGCCGUGCUGUGCGUCAUCCUGUCAGAAUGACUUUCUCUCUUGUUGAGAAGGGAGAUGGAAAGACAGGAAAUCGGGGGCUCCAGCUCUCCUAGUAAUUGCUGUGAGAAUAAAAAUCAGGAUUAUUUGUGCCCAUGAGGGAAACACGAAGGAUUGUCAGUAUUCAUUUGCUAUCAGAACUGCCUUUGAACUUCAGGGAAGCCGCCAUCUUGUUUUAGUUCACUCCUCUAAAGCACAGUGUCUGCAACAUGAAACACUAGUAAGACACAGUUAUCCAGAAAGAGCCCUAGAGAUGGAUAAGGAACCUGUUGGAAUGCUCUGAUAUUAAGAAAAAAAAAAUUAAAUUCAAAACCAAAAACAAGUCACAAGGGAGUUUUAUGCCUAUGUAAUCAGUGCAGACAGCCGUUAAGUAAAUGAAGAGGCAACUAACAAUGUCAGAAAAGAGACCGGGCGGUUCCGGCUGACACUACCCUAAUCUUCCAGGACCCAUUAAAUGGUAGUUUCAACGCAUUACCUACCAUAACAUCCUUGAAUAUCACUGAUUUUAUUUGCAGUAUCAAACAUUCCAUUUCAUGCCCCAUUAACAGUGGGAGCCUGGGCUUUUUGACGCAGCUAAACAUUUUACUAACUACCUGGACUAAGUAACCAAUUAACUUUUGGAGACAAUACGGCCAAUUAAGCGCGAAAAGAAAAUUUGGAAAACAGGCUUUUCCUAUCCGGAUGAACAGAGAUAAUUUGUGUCGAUGGAUGUUCUGUGAAGGCCUAUUGUGUCGAGCAGCGUAUUAAAACAUAAACAUGGCUCUUCCCCCAAGAAACUUACAUUUCAGUAAGGGAGCCUGGCCAAAAUGGAAAACUGCAAGGUUCAAAUCCUGGAGUGCAGAAGAAGCAUUAGGCAUUGACCCUGUGGCUUCCUAAUAGAUCCGCAAAGUGCUUUGUUCCUGGAAAUCAUCCGAUGAGUAGUUCAGUGCUAUUGUAUAUCUUGUUAGAGCAGCCGAAGUGCCACAAAAUGAACUAAAAUCUCCCUGCAGAGUUGCUGUAUCAUAUGCUGAGAACAUUCGGAACUUUCAACAAAUUCAUGUUACGAUCCUGGGUAGCCAUGGUUAAAUCUGUACAGGGGUUAAAUGAGAAAUAUGAGCCUGCUGUUAAGUGUCUUCUGAGAGUGACAAAGCUCUGGCCAUAAGGGAUGGGAGAGGAGGGAUUUCUUCUCAGCCUUCCAGCCCUUUCCAGCUGUAUCACAGACAGGAGACAUAAUGCAAAGGGGCUCAGACAUUGACUUCCUGGAUCUUUGCGGCCCCAGGCAUUGACCCCCUCUACCUGGCUUUUCCUACGCUGUAAAAUGAGGAUCCUCCUAUAUUAUGGAGUUUAUUGUGACAACUAAAUAGCUGAGAAGAAGGACAUCUCAUUUGUUUUAACUAUGCAGUUUCCUGUCUAUCUAUCUAUCUAUCCCAUCAAUCUAUCAAUCAAUCUAUCAAUCUGUCUAUCCCUAUCUAUCUAUCCAUCUAUCUAUCUAUAUCUGUCUAUAUCUAUCUAACAUUUAUCUAUCAUCUAUUCAUCUAUCAGCUAUCUUCUGUCUAUCAAUAUUUCAAUCAAUCUCUCUAUCCCUAUCAAUUAAUCUAUCUACCUACCUAUCAACUAUCCAUCUAUCUCUAUCAUCUAUCAUCUAUUCAUCUAUCAUUUAUCAUCUGUCAAUCCAUCUUCCUACUAUCUAUCAAAAGCAACACAUUUUCUUCCUGACUUUAAAAAUAUUUAAGUGGGCCGGGAGGAUGGCUCACGCCUGUAAUCCCAGCACUUUGGGAGGCCUAGGCGGGCGGAUCACGAGGUCAGGAGAUGGAGACCAUCCUGGCUAACAUGGUGAAACCCCGUCUCUACUAAAAAUACAAAAAAAAAAAAAAAUUAACCAGGCGUGGUGGAGGGCGCCUGUAGUCCCAGCUACUCGGGAGACUGAGGCAGGAGAAUGGGGAGAACCCGGGAGGCGGAGCUUGCAGUGAGCCGAGAUCAUGCCACUGCACUCCAGCCUGGGCGACAGAGCAAGACUCCAUCUCAAAAGAAACAAAAACAAAAACGUAAGUGAUACUCUGUCCACUCUUUUGAUUGAGGAGGUCUGAUUUUCAGGCUUUGGAUUUUAUUAUGUCUUCAAUAUAAUAAUUGUUCCAUGUAUCUCUCCUAAAUUGCCAUUUGAAAAACUGCUUUUCUGAAGUUUAAAGUGCACAUUUUGAUACAUCUUGACACAUAUAUACACCCAUGAAAUCAUCACCACAAUCAGGAUAGUAGAUCUAUCCAUUACCGCCAAGGUUUACUUGCACUCCUUUGAACUUUCUCCCCACUCCUCACCCCCUGCCUAUCCCCAAUCCUUAAGCAAUCACUGAUUUGCUUUCUGUCACUAUCAGUUAAUUUGAAUUUUUCAGAAAUGUAUAUAAAUAAAAUCAUUCGACGUGUAUGCUCUUUUUCUGUUCACCCGGUACAAUUUGAGAUUUAGCCAUGUUUUUGCAUGUGUCAAUAGUUUAUUUUUUUGUUGCUCAGUACUAAUCCAUUUUAUGGAUACAGAGAAAUGUAUUAAUGCAAUCCCAUAUUAAUAGGCAUUUGGGUUGUUUCCAGGUUUGGGCUGUUACAAAUAAAGCUGCUAUGAACAUUUUUGUGCAAGUCUUUUUAUGAGUAUAUUCCUUUAUUUCUUUUGGGUAAAUACCUAGAAGUGGGAUGGGUGUAUCACAUGGUACGUAAAUAUUUAAAUUUUUAAGAGAAUGCCAAACUGUUUUUCAAAGUAAUUGCACCAUUUUAUAUUCCCACCAGGAAUAUAUGAGAAUUCCAGUUCCUCUACAUACUCACAGACAUAUUGUAUGGUCAGU